rfam:Clostridiales bacterium 42_27 Ley3_66761_scaffold_11842, whole genome shotgun sequence.
UGGGGUAUCGCCAAGUGGUAAGGCACAGGAUUCUGACUCCUGCACCGCUGGUUCGAGUCCAGCUACCCCAG